rnacentral:rRNA from 1 species
AACGAACGCUGGCGGCGCGUCUUAAGCAUGCAAGUCGAACGGCAAGAGGUAGCAAUACCUCCUAGAGUGGCGGACUGGUGAGUAACACGUGGGUGACAUACCCUUCAGAUGGGGAUAGCUAUUAGAAAUAGUAGAUAAUACCGAAUACGAGCACAGGGGUUAGAGAUCUGUGAGGAAAGGAGCUAAGGCUCCGCUGAAGGAAUGGCCUGCGGCCCAUUAGCUAGUUGGUGAGGUAAGAGCCCACCAAGGCGAUGAUGGGUAUCCGGCCUUAGAGGGUGAACGGACACAUUGGGACUGAGAUACGGCCCAGACUCCUACGGGAGGCAGCAGCUAAGAAUAUUCCGCAAUGGACGAAAGUCUGACGGAGCGACGCCGCCGUGGAUGAAGAAGGCCGGAAGGUUGUAAAAUCCUUUUGAAACUGAAGAAUAAGCGUUGUAGGGAAUGACAGCGUGGUGACAGUAGGUUUUGAAUAAGCAACGGCUAAUUACGUGCCAGCCGCGGC